AGAAAUAGGUGCUAAUACCGCAUAAGCGCACGGCUCCGCAUGGGGCAGUGUGAAAAACUCCGGUGGUAUACNAUGGAUCCGCGUCUGAUUAGCUAGUUGGCGGGGUAACGGCCCACCAAGGCAGCGAUCAGUAGCCGGCCUGAGAGGGUGGACGGCCACAUUGGGACUGAGACACGGCCCAAACUCCUACGGGAGGCAGCAGUGGGGAAUAUUGCACAAUGGGGGAAACCCUGAUGCAGCGACGCCGCGUGAGUGAAGAAGUAUCUCGGUACGUAAAGCUCUAUCAGCAGGGAAGAAAAUGACGGNACCUGACUAAGAAGCCCCGGCUAACUACGUGCCAGCAGCCGCGGUAAUACGUAGGGGGCAAGCGUUAUCCGGAUUUACUGGGUGUAAAGGGAGCGUAGACGGUGAAGCAAGUCUGAAGUGAAAGGCGGGGGCUCAACCCCCGGACUGCUUUGGAAACUGUUUGACUGGAGUGCAGGAGAGGUAAGUGGAAUUCCUAGUGUAGCGGUGAAAUGCGUAGAUAUUAGGAGGAACACCAGUGGCGAAGGCGGCUUNCUGGACUGUAACUGACGUUGAGGCUCGAAAGCGUGGGGGAGCAAACAGGAUUAGAUACCCUGGUAGUCCACGCGGUAAACGAUGAUCACUAGGUGU
rnacentral:rRNA from 1 species